AUUUUUAAUGAGAGAGAUACAGAGAAAAAGAGAGUGAUAUCAGAGCACUGCUCAGCUGAGGAUUGAACCUGGGACCUUGGAGCCUAAGGCAUCAAACGUUUUUUGCAUAACCAUUAUGCUGUCUCACCAGCCUGGUUAUCUGUUAUCUAGCUAGCCAUCAUUAUCAUCUAUUGGGUUGUCAGAAAAGUCAUGAUGUAUUCCUCUAUGCAAAAAUGCCUUCCGCCUUUUUCAACAAUAUCCAGUGUCACUAUCUUAUCAUCUAUACAUCCAUCCCUCUCUCCUUUUUUUUUUUUAAAUUUUUAAAUUUUAAUUUAUUUAUAAAAUAGAAACACUGACAAGAUCAUAGGACAAGAGGGGUACAAUUCCCACCACCAGAGCUCCGUAUCCCAUCCCCUCCUCUGAUAGCUGUUCUAUUCUUUAACCCUGUCGGAGUAUGGACCCAGGGUCAUUAUGGGGUGCAGAAGGUGGAAGGUCUGGCUUCUGUAAUUGCUUCCCCGAUGAACAUGGGUGUCGACAGGUCAAUCCAUACUCCCAGCCUGCCUGUCUCCCUAGUAGGCAGGGGGCUUUAGGGAAUCGGGACUCCAGGACACAUUGGUGGUCAUCUGUCCAGGGAGGUCUGGUUGGCAUCAUGGUAGCAUCUAGAACCUGGUGGCUGAAAAAGAGUUAACAUAUAAAGCCAUACAAAUUGUUGACUAAUCAUGAACCUAAAGGCUGGAAUAGUGCAGAUGAAGAUUUGGGGUCUCUGUUUUGGAACUAGCUAGUAGGUCUAUUUUAGGUAUAUUCCAAGGGGCCCAUGACUUUAUAUUAGUUUUUGCCUGAGCCUGACAUCUGAUAUGCAGGUGGACCCAGGUUAUUGUCUGGGGAGAUGAUGUCAUGGCUGAAAAGAGGACUAGAAAGCUGAAUCAGGGAAGAGAGUAGCUCCCAAAUAUGGAAAACGUGUACAAAUAUUGUAGACUGUAAACCCCACUGAUUUGAUCUGGGGCCCAUAUUCAGCAUAGGAGCCUAUGUAACCUCUAUUCCUGUAGGUCUGAACUUGUACCCUCUCUCACCUUUAUUAACAUGCCUCCUACGAACCAGGCACUAUUGUACAUUGCACAUCAUCUCAUUUCCUUCUUUUUUUAAAAAAUUUUUUAAUGUAUUUAUUUAUUUAUUAUAGGAUAGAGACAGAAAUUGAGAAAGGAGAGGGAGAUAGAGAGACAGAGAGACACCUGCAGCUCUGCUUCACCACUUGUGAAGCUCUCCCCCUGCAGGUGGGGACCAGGAGCUUGAACCCGGGUCCUUGAGCACUGUAAUGUGUAUGCUUAUCUGCCACCGCCUGGCCCCUCUCAUUUCCUUCUUUAUUUUAUUUUAUUAUUUUUAUUUUUUGUUUUUUAUUUAAGAAAGGAGACAUUAACAAAACUGUAGGAUAAGAGGGGUACAGCUCCACACAAUUCCCACCACCCGCUCUCCGUAUCCCAUCCCCUCCCCUGAUAACUUUCCCAUUCUCUAUCCCUCUGGGAGUAUGGACCCAGGGUUGUUGUGGGUUCUCAUUUCCUCUUAACAGGCAUACCACAAGAUCCACGCUAUCUCUGAAUGUAUUUACAGGUAUCAGAUUCAACACACUUCAAAGAGAUUUCCCAAAUCACAAGCAGAAGAAAAUAUAAUUUUAACCUCAAGCUUAAAACUGGUCAUCUAGAUGCACUGAUGUGUGUGUGCUGCACAAUGAAGCCUCAGAAGCAGCCUACUUCUUCCUUUCUACUUCUCCUGCUUUGGGAAGUGAAACUUUAGGUUUGUGAAUGUUUGGGAAAGUGAAGAAAACAGAGCAUACAAGUCUUGAGUGGACCUAGAGUCCUAUUCUAGUGGUUGUCACACUGAAAGUGGAUCUGUUCUUGGCAUAUCCUCAUCAACAUUGCUAUCAGCAUCUUCCAGGAAAACACAAGAAACACCAUUAGCAGGUGUAAUGAUACAGAGCCAGAGGAUUCUGGUGGCACUGGGAAGAGAGCCAGGGUUCUCAAAGCUUCUGAUGUGCUAAAACCCAGCAGAUGUGAGUGAAGAAUAAUAUAUACACGUUUGCCUUUGGUAAAGUAUAAAAAGUAAAUUUAGGCAUUGAAGGAAGAGACUUAACUAUAUGCCCCAGAUAAUGCCACCAGCUAUGAUGUCUGAUAUGAUCAUGACAAGGUCAUCUAGCACAGUGCUGCUUGGAAUGUGGUCCAGGGACUGCCACUGGGCCAGCUGUUUGGUGACCAUCCCUGAGAAUGUCAUGCUUGAGAAUCUAAUAUUUUAUCUACUGUACCACUUCCUGGAUCACUAGGGGGGUGGUGGUAGUAAAAUCUCAAGGAAAGGGUUAGUGGUCACAUUUAGAAAAGUGAGGUUUAGAGAAAUUAUGAACAUUAUCUAGAUUUCUGUACUGAGACAAAUUCCUGGUCAAUAUACAUGAAAUUUCUUCUCUCUUUUUUUAAAUGAUAAGGUUCACAUUAUUUCUAUUUUUUUACUAGUGAUUUUAUACUGAUUUACAAAACUGUAAGAUAAUAGGGGCAUAAUUUCAUAUAAUUUCUACCACUGUGUCCAUCCCCUCCACUGAAAACUUUAGUACUUCUCUCAAGGUCACAGAUAUGGGCUGAUUCUGUAACUAUCUAUCUAUACCUAUGCAUAUAUAUAUUUCCCCCCAUUUUUAAUGGUUCUGCCUUCACUUUAUUUUUUUUUCUGUUCAUUUAUAUUUAUUUUUCCCUUUUUGUUGCCCUUGUUGUUUUUUUAUUGUUGUAGUUAUUAUUGUUGUUGAUGUUGACAUUGUUAGAUAGGACAGAGAGAAAUGGAGAGAGGAGGGGAAGACAGAGAGGGGGAGAGGAAGAUAGACACCUGCAGACCUGCUUCACCUUGUGAAGCAACUCCCUGCAGGUGGGGAGCUGGAGGCUCAAACUGGGAUCCUUAUGCCAGUCCUUGAGCUUUGUGUCAAGUGCUCUUAAUCUGCUGCGCUCCUGCCCAACUCCCUCACUUUCUUUCUUUUAAAAAAAUUUAUUAGUGAUUUAACAUUGAUUUAUUACAUGUCAGCAGGGUUAUAAUUUCACACUGUUACCACUUCCAGAGUUGUUAAUCCCCAAUCACCCCACUGCAAGCCAUCACAGUUCCCCUAAGGCUGCAGACAUGGGCCAACCAUCAUCUCUACAACUGUCUACAUUUGUACAUAAUUUCCCCCUUUAAAAUUUUUUUCUUUUUUCCCCCUUAUUGGGGGAUUAAUGUUUUAUUUUAUUUUUUAAAAAAUUUCUUUAUUGGGGAAUUAAUGUUUUACAUUCAACAGUAAAUACAAUAGUUUGUACAUGCAUAACAUUUCCCAGUUUUCCAUAUAACUGUACAACCCUCACUAGGUCCUCUGUCAUCCUUCUUGGACCUGUAUUCUCCCCACCCACCCACCCCAGAGUCUUUUACUUUGGUGCAAUAUGCCAACUCCAGUUCAGGUUCUACUUGUGUUUUCUCUUCUGAUUUUGUUUUUCAACUUCUGCCUGAGAGUGAGGUCAUCCCAUAUUCAU